rnacentral:rRNA from 1 species
UAUUCCUACGGGGGGCAGCAGUGAGGAAUAUUGGUCAAUGGGCGGGAGCCUGAACCAGCCAAGCCGCGUGAGGGAAGAAGGUACAGCGUAUCGUAAACCUCUUUUGUCAGGGAACAAAGGCGGGGACUAGUCCCCGGAUGAGGGUACCUGAAGAAAAAGCAUCGGCUAACUCCGUGCCAGCAGCCGCGGUAAUACGGAGGAUGCGAGCGUUAUCCGGAUUUAUUGGGUUUAAAGGGUGCGUAGGCGGAAGGUUAAGUCAGCGGUCAAAUGUCGGUGCUCAGCACCGGCCUGCCGUUGAAACUGGU